rnacentral:sRNA from 1 species
UAAGUCGUGUAUAGAAUGCUUUAAUUUUAAUAAAGUCACUUACAACUUUCAUGACAUCAUUUACAGAGUUCAAAAGCAAGGUAAAUGUAGCAGAAACUCUUUUUGCAUUUUUUUCAGCUGAACACAACCUACCAUUUUCUAUGUCAGAUCACUUUACAAAAUUCAAAAUCAGCAACUGUUAGUUAAAAUGCUUCUUUGCAAUAAAGUAUUACACAUACGUUUUAACACAUAUUUCUAUUGUAUAUACCUAUAAAAUGCAUGAUAAGUAUGUUGUGAAUGUCGUUACGCGCUAUGACCAGAUUUUUUACUUUCCAAAUCUGGUCAUGACCAGAUUUUCACAUGUUGGAGGUUGGCAAGUAUGCAUGUCGUUUGCUUGAUUAAACCAAGUCAAAGCCAGUAGAUAUGAAUUGUAAGAAUAACAUUCCAUGAAGAAGAGACUAGUUGUGAAUACUUAAUAUGAAUUCGGUUAAUCAUCAUAACUUUACACAAGUUUUUGAGGUUUCGUUUGGUACUGGCACAAACGAGACAGACCAGCCAGAUUAGUGAUAACCAACGUAUCAUUCACCGAGUUUUGAAAUUAAUUUCAUAUAAAAAUAAUAGGACAACCAAUGAAUUUCAGCCUCUGGAAUGUGUCUUUCUAUGCUUAAAGUCCCAGUCUUAAAAAGAAGGGCUUGUUUAUUUGAUUAUAAAAAAUAUUGUGCGGAAAAUUUGAAUUCUGUUAAACAGUAAAAGCACUAUUUAUAGCUACAUGUACAUGUUCUGUCGAAGAAACACAUGACAAUAAGUAAUAAAGACCUGGGUAAUUAUUAUUUAAGAGAAUCUGUAUACAUCAUAGUUUAAAAAACAUUUCUUAAAAUGGUGAAUUGGGUGAGUAUUCUCUAUAAGACGGUAACUUUAGUCAAUAGUUUUACUCAUGUAUUUUAUAGAUAACGAAAAAACUGUUGUACUAAGUACACGUUUUGCAAGAAGUCUAUUUAUCCAAGACAUUUAAACGUACAUCACAUAUAAAGUUGUUAGAUAUACCCUUUCUAAUGGAACACGGUCAUCGGUUAUUUUUGAUAUAAACAUUUACUGAUUAUUUCAUUAUGAAUUGUUAAGAGAAUAUCGAAAUGUUUGAAUAAAGAAAAUGAUUUAUUU